CAACUACUCCCUCUGUCCCAAAUUUCUUGUCUUAGAUUUGUCUAUAUACCUAUGUAUCUAAUACUAAAAUGUGACUUGAUACAUCCGUAUCUAGACAAAUCUAAGACAAGAAUUUUGGGACGGAGGGAGUACUUU
rfam:Triticum aestivum genome assembly, contig: Triticum_aestivum_CS42_TGACv1_scaffold_000560_1AL